rnacentral:rRNA from 1 species
UCCGUAGGUGAACCUGUAAGUCGUCGCCAAUUCUCCCCAUCUCGUGAUUGUCUAUCACUAACAACUAAUGUAGGCGGAGGGAUCAUUA